rnacentral:rRNA from 1 species
UUGACCUCGGAUCAGGUAGGGAUACCCGCUGAACUUAAGCAUAUCAAUAAGCGGAGGAAAAGAAACCA